UCUUGUAAGAUCAAGAUUUGGUCAUGUGGUACAACUCUAUGUUUUGAUGAUAACAAGUAUUUAUUUGUGGAUGAACAACUAUGAUACUCUAAUGUUUGUCUUGAGUGUUUUGACAAACAGGUUCUGAUUCUGACACCAGAAGAUAUAUUCGUCAGAAGUUCUGAAGAUCUGAAGAUCAGAGGAUCAGAAGAUCAGAGGAUCAGAAGAUCAGAGGAUCAGAAGAUCUGAGGAUCAGAAGAUCUGAAGACCAGAAGCUCUGAGGGACCAGAGGCUCUGAAGGUUCAGAAGCUCUGAAGGUCCAGAAGCAGAAGUUACGAAGGUCAGAGGAUCCAAGCAUCCCUCUGACUCUGAUCACCAAGCUUCACAAGUUCCAAC
rnacentral:lncRNA from 1 species